CCACCUCUGGGAGAAAUGGCUGCAGCAGAGAAGGAUGAACGGAAGGCAGAAAAACCAGGAAGGACCCAGGCUGACUGUGACUCAAGAGCUGGGGAAAACACUAAUGUUUUCUGACCACCUCUCGUUUUUACCCUUUGGUCCAUUCUUUCUGAGGUUUCUUCUUCAGAGGCCUCCUUAUCAUAGAUCCUGUCAUCCUGUAAAAUUGAACACAUUCCUAAAGGUCACCUUGAGGAGGACUGAAACCACUAAGGGAAUGUCAACAGUCAGUCAUGGAGAGUGGUAUGUGCAUGGAGGACAGGGGAUGGGCGACAAUUUUCUGGAGUCUCUGAUAAACGUUGCUGUGACCCUACAACUGCUGUAAACGGGUUAGAAGUGGCCUUGGAGGAAAGAACCAGAACCAGGAAAGGAUUCGGAGGAGGGGGCUGGAGAGAUGGCUCAGCGGUUAGGAGCACCG
rnacentral:lncRNA from 1 species